rnacentral:rRNA from 1 species
UACGUAGGGGGCAAGCGUUGUCCGGAAUCAUUGGGCGUAAAGAGCGCGUAGGCGGUCCGGUAAGUCCGCUGUGAAAGUCAAGGGCUCAACCCUUGAAUGCCGGUGGAUACUGCCGGGCUAGAGUCCGGAAGAGGCGAGUGGAAUUCCUGGUGUAGCGGUGAAAUGCGCAGAUAUCAGGAGGAACACCGGUGGCGAAGGCGGGUCUCUGGGCCGAUACUGACGCUGAGGAGCGAAAGCGUGGGGAGCGAACAGG